UGGUGACCACAUCAGGGAGACCGCCGACCACGCGGGCACGAUCUGCAAGCACAGGCAUUUCUGGUUAAUCACUGAGAUGUGUCCACAGGAUUCCUCUGAGGAGAGGCACUGAGUCAGAGAGCCAGGAUCCCUCUCAGCUUCAGUGGAGCUGGCAUCUACCCUAUUUGCCACUCGCGGCAGCCUGGCAAACCCAGAGCAUGAGCAGGAGAGGGGAAGAGCUGAAAGAAGGGAGGAAGGCAGUGCAAGUCAAAGGUGAGCCUGUCACCCUGAUGACCUGGAGCCAUGGACUGUCGGUAUCACCACUCACUCCUCCUCAUCCCUUCCAUUCCAGCCCAGGACCCACUCUACAGUUUUAACCCUUAACAAUUUUCAAGUUCUGCUACACCAAGAAAGAACCUGAAUUAUUAUAAUUUAAUCUGUGACUUCUGGGAGCCUAUCUGUGAGUUCUUCCAGAAAGCUCUGUGUGUGUAGCAAACAGUUGGCAAAUUAGUGUUGAGUACAUUUCUGGGUACAUAGUUAACAGGUUGGUGUUUAUUCACUCAGACUGUGAAAUAAAGGCCUUUUUUAUCCUACAGGAGCUCUCAGGAAAAUGUAAGAGUGCUUGGGGGACCAGUUACAGCAAUUUACCCAAGCCAAAUUUACAAAGUUUCUUAUUGCUUCUUUUCUUUAAUGUACAUGAAUUUUUCUGACACACUGUGGCCGAUGCCAGUGAUUAACAACCUGCUGUGUGAUUUGCAGCUCAGAGAUUUCUCAGGACAUCUGGGUGGUUAGCUCAAGAACCGGGCAACUUUCUUACAGUGUAACCUGAGACUUUCUUCUUGGAGAGAUUCGUACUCAAGAGACAAAAUGAAAACAUAUGUAGAACACCUAAGAUUUUUAAAAAAGGCUUUCACUCUCCUCCGUCUGUAGUCAUGGUAGAAGAAUGAAAGUCAUACUUUGAAAAUUACACCAGGAGUAAAGGGAAAGGGAGU